UACAGAGGUCUCAAGCGUUGUUCGGAUUCAUUGGGCGUAAAGGGUGCGUAGGCGGCGCGGUAAGUCGGGUGUGAAAUCUCGGGGCUUAACUCCGAAACUGCAUUCGAUACUGCCGUGCUUGAGGACUGGAGAGGAGACUGGAAUUUACGGUGUAGCGGUGAAAUGCGUAGAUAUCGUAAGGAAGACCAGUGGCGAAGGCGGGUCUCUGGACAGUUCCUGACACUGAGACACGAAGGCCAGGGGGAGCAAACGGG
rnacentral:rRNA from 1 species